GUGGAACCUUGACAUUCAAACUACUGCAAAGAUUCAGAAAGAAUUUGCCAUCUUUCUUCUCUAUAGUGGAGGCGAAUCGUGUCCCCCUAAUCUCCAGUCUCAAAUGGAUGGUUCAUUUGUCCCCCGAAAUAAUAUUGAAGAGGCUAUUCUUCUCUUAAUGAUAUUAUUGAGAAAGAUUUCUCUACAAAGGAUAGAGUGGGACCCUUCGAUUCUUGAUCAUCUCUCGUAUGCAUUAUCUAUCUCAGGGGGUUUAAAGACUUUGGCUAGCAAAGUAGAAGAAUUGCUUCCCAGAACUAUAGAUCGGCAAGAGAAGUAUCUAAUUUUAGCUCUCUGUUACUACGGAGGAGGAGAUGACUUCACUGCAUUGAACUUGUUACGGAAACUGUGGAGAAGUACAGAGGAUCACAUCUGUGUUCCAGGUUUGUUAUUGGCUUCAAAAGUGUGUGCUGAAAGCCCAGAUUGUGCAAGCGAGGGGAUAAUUUAUGCUCACAGAGCUAUUGAAAGACUGCAAGAAAGAUGUAGUCAUUUGUUGGGUGUUGCCAAUUGUGUAUUAGGACU
rnacentral:misc_RNA from 1 species